AGAGUUUGAUCCUGGCUCAGGAUGAACGCUAGCGGCAGGCCUAAUACAUGCAAGUCGAACGGUAAGGUCUCUUCGGAGAUACACGAGUGGCGCACGGGUGAGUAACGCGUAUGCAACCUACCUAUAACUGGGGAAUAGCCCUUCGAAAGGAGGAUUAAUACCCCAUAAUGUUUCCGAGAGGCAUCUCUCGGUUCCUAAAACUCCGGUGGUUAUAGAUGGGCAUGCGUGACAUUAGUUUGUUGGUGAGGUAACGGCUCACCAAGACUUCGAUGUCUAGGGGGUCUGAGAGGAUGAUCCCCCACACUGGUACUGAGACACGGACCAGACUCCUACGGGAGGCAGCAGUAAGGAAUAUUGGGCAAUGGAGGAAACUCUGACCCAGCCAUGCCGCGUGCAGGAUUGACAGCUCUAGUAGUUGUAAACUGCUUUUAUAUGGGAAGAAAAGCACCUACGUGUAGGUGUCUGACGGUACCAUAAGAAUAAGGACCGGCUAACUCCGUGCCAGCAGCCGCGGUAAUACGGAGGGUCCAAGCGUUAUCCGGAUUUAUUGGGUUUAAAGGGUGUGUAGGCGGAAAAAUUAGUCAGUGGUGAAAUCCUGCAGCUUAACUGCAGAACUGCCAUUGAUACUGUUUUUCUUGAAUAUAGUUGA
rnacentral:rRNA from 1 species